CUGGGUUGCCUGUGCUUUUGUAGGAGGGACACUCGCCUGAAAAAUGAUCCUUAAUAUCUCAGAAACCAAAGCUGCACAAAAACUGGUUUCAAUGGCACAACCAAAUUAUUUCUGAGUCGCUCUACUGUUCAUAGGGCAGUCAUUUGUCAAUGAACGCACACGCUGGUACAGUGGGCUGGCAGGUGACUCUUCUCGGUCAGGUGGCUGUUGUUGGGUAAGUAGGGUUGUAAAGCAGCAGUGGACACCUCUUGCUCUGAUUUCAGCGUGUGGUGGUCGCGGAAGCUGGAGGCGAGCCGUGGACAGACCGGCAGAACAGGAAGACCCUAUGCGGAGGGGCAGGAACGGAGCAAACGCGGAUAAAGUCGGGGAAAAGAGACCCCCUCAGGCAGCGGACGUGGGGCGACCUGGUGAGGGGAGUCUCACGACACCUGAUCCCCAUGCCCAGCCCGGAGGAUAGGGAGAGCCUGAAAAAGAUAGCCCCAGACAACAAGACACACGGGAAGAACUGGUAAAGCACAGGGAGACUAGGAACAGGACAGAGAAGGAGCCCCCUCUGGAUGUAGAGGGCAAGACAGUGGUGUCUGUAGCCAAAAACCAGAAUGAAAACCGCAGGACAUUCUCUAAAGGAAACUAGGUCGUUUUGAAGCUGAAAGGAGGACACCAUCGGAACCAUAACAAAAGAAUUAGGCGAUUUGGAAAAUACCGUAGAGGAAAGAAACCACAGUGAAGCAGAGGUCAGCAGAGGGCCCGGGGUUCGGUUCGGUUGUUUUUGUGAUGAUGGUAUCAUCAAAUGUUUGUAUGGCAUUACCCACAAAUAUAUUAUAUUGUACUUGCAAAAUAAUCAAAAUAUAAUUUUUAUUGAUUGUAUUCUAAAUAUACACAUUUUGUA
rnacentral:lncRNA from 1 species